CAUUGUCCCAAUACAACCGCUCUAACGGCUCGCUGUCGUAUAUCGCAUUCAAGAAGGGCUCUUUUGUGUCUCGCAUCAGCUUCACCAGUUCAGGUAUCCACACUUUCUCCGCUGCUUCGUACAUAUUCUCGAUCAUGUCGCGGCUUACUUUUGUUGUGAGCGAGUUUCCCUGAGGUGAUUUUGCUCUUGAUCAUCAAAUAUAUGUGAUUUUUUAAUACCGUAAGUAGUUGAACGAACAUGUUAUUUACCUUCAAAUCUGGCUCUUGUUGAUUGAGAUACCAAAUCCAGUUGAUCCUUUUGUUGAUUAAUUCGUAAAGAAUAGCAUGCCCUUCCGAACCCAAAUCGAAAUAAUCGCAGUUUCCCAGAUCAGGGUAUGCCUUCUUGAGUUGCUUUACUGUUUCCGAGUUCUGAUUUUUCGAAUAAUCGAGGACCCCUCUCCACGCACAGUAGCCUGAAUAUCUAUAAUAACAAAUAUCGUUUAUUUCAACAUCUACAUGUAUAUUAAUAUAUGUAUGUAUAUAAGUUGUUAGAUUGAAUAGUACCUGAGUUUGUGGUGAGGAAGAAAACAUUUACGAACUGAAGAACGGCAACCGUCAGCACCGACAAGAAGAUCACCGACAAUUUCGACAGUUUCGUCGGUUUUGAGAACCUUAGUCAACACUUUGACUGAGCUUUUGUCUUCAGAUAUGGAAAAUGAGAGGAAAGAGUGUCCCCACAGAACAACAGCUUCCGGUGGUAAAGAUUUAUGGAGAAGGCUAUGGAGAUCAGCCCAGUGUGCUGCUGUGUAGUUAUAAUGUUCGUCUCGUGUCAGUGUUCGAGUAAUCUUGGUUUCCGCAUCUGUUGCUUGUUCCUGUAAUGAAAGAAACUCAUUUUCUUAUUACAUCCAUUUUUGUUGUUAGUCGAUAAUAGAUAAGACUUACAUGGUCAAUGGUCAUGGGCAUGGUGAUAUGCUGAAGGAGAUGAGGUGGUUUAAUCCAUUUGGGAAUGAGUUUGAUAGACACUGUAUCGAGUCCAAUUCCGGCACCGGUGGAGCAGCCAGUUAGGGCGGAGGUGGUCUUCUCCACCACCACCACUUCCCAUCCGGCGGCAAUCAGUGCGUGCGCACUGCAAAUCCCCGCUAUGCUGCCGCCCACAAUCACCGCCUUCCCCUUUUUCCGGUUCUCAAUCAUCUCUUUGUGCGUGUGUGUGUUUGUUUGCCUUUUUCGGAUGGCAAUUACUUUAUAAUAACAAUUAGUUAGACGAGAGAAGAUGCUGGAAUAAUUGUCCAAUUAUAGAUGUUUGGUGCAAUGUCAAUCACGCGUGGGGACAAUUAGGCCUGCAAAAUGUGGUCCGAAAUUGGAAUAGCGACACCGGUAAUAGAUCUUUUGUUUUUUUGUCUCUGAAUUAGGCAGUGUCGAAUUUGGUUUUCGCUUACUCUCAAAUUCUGAGAAAUUUUACAUGGACUCAAUUAUUUGACACAUAUUUAUUGAUAGUUGAAACACACAGAUAAGAAAACUCGUGCUGGGAAUACACAUCCAGAGGGUGCCCCACACUUAUUACAUCAAAAUGGAUGGCAUAACAUUGAAAUAAGGUGUAUUCCUUAUCUGCAGCACUUUGCUUUCUUCUUCACUUGCUGUCAUAGGAUCAAAUAUCUCCCGACCAGAGACAGGUAAGCGUUGUUUUAUGCAGCCCGAUCUUCGUGAGUAAAGAACUUGCUCUUUAGCAACCGGCAGCCUGAUAGACUGAUACUCUUCGAGGGCCGAGCCAAGAUUCUGCGGGCCCCACUUCUCUAGGCAUUUGCCCAACACUGCAGCAUCGAGUACCGACAUGUUGGUGGCUCUUGCACUGUGAGGCGUUAUAGGGUGAGCUGCAUCUCCAAUCAGAACCACAUUGUUCCAAUAAAUCUGCUCUAAUGGCUCGCUAUCGUAUAUCGCGUUCAGAAACGGGUCUUUCGUUUCUCGCAUCACUUUCACCAGUUCAGGUAUCCAAACUUUCUCUGCUAAUUCGUACAUAUUCUCAAUCAUGUCUUGGCUAACUUUUGUUGUGAGUGAAUUUCCCUGAGUUUAAUUGAUUUGAAUAAAUAUAAUUAAUGAAGAGUACAAUCGGAGCGGAAUAUGUAAGUAUUUAUAUAAUACCUCGAAACGAGGCUCUUCUUGAUUGAGAUACCAAACCCAAUUGAACCUUCGGUUGAUUAACUCAUGAAAGACAACAUGCCCUUCUGAGCCUAAGUCGAAAUAACAAGAGUUACCGAGAUCAAGGUAAGCCUUCUUGAUUGCCUUUAGUGUUUCUGAGUUCUCGUUGUCUGAAUAAUCGAUUACACCUCUCCAUGCACAAUAACCCGAAUAUCUAUAGUGAACAAGAUGGUUUAUCUCAAACUUAUUCAGAAUCGAAUAUGUAAGAAUAGAGAAGUAGAAAAAGCUAGAACACAAUUAGCAGAAGAAAACAUGUAAUUAGCAAAGACUUGUUUAUAUAGUUGGUUUGAUAUAAUACCUGAGUUUGUGAUCAGGGAGAAAAUGUUUUCGUAUAGGAGAGAGGCUACCAUCAGCUGCGACAAGAAGAUCGGCAACUAUCUCGACAGUUUCGUCGGUUUGGAGGAGCUUAGCUACCACUUUGACCGAACUUUUAUCUUCGGAAAUCGACAAGGAUAAGAAGAAGUGGCCCCACAAGAGAACAACCUCCGGCGGUAAGGACUCGUAAAGAAGCCUAUGGAGAUCGGACCAGUGCACUACUUUGAAAUUGAAACUCGGGUCUCUUGCCAGUGUCCGACUAAUGUUCUUGUCCACAUCUGUUGCUUGAUCCUUAAAAUAAAAAACACGGGACGAUGUACAGCAGAACCUCGAUAAAUUAAUACUCGAGAUAAAUUAAUAACCUCGAUUAAAUAAUAGUUUCUCUCGCUCCCGACUUGGUGAAAACGUGUUAAAUUAUUAACUCGAUAGUUUAAUAAUUCGCUAAAUGAAUAGAAUUUACCUAGACACGACUGUAUUAAUUUAUAGAGGUUUUAGCUGUAUGAAGAUUUCAUGUCCAUUUUGAUGCGUGUGUGCGUGUAUAUAUAUAUAUGAGAAGAUUGUACUUACAUACUCGACGGUCAAUGGCAAUGUCAUGAGGUCGAGCGUUUCGGGAUGUUUAAGCCAUGGUUGGAUGAUUUUGUGGGAGAGCUUAUCGAGUCCGAGUCCAGCUCCGGUGGUGCAGCUAGUUGGAGCAGACAUGGUUUUCUCCAGCACCACCACUUCCCACCCUGCUGCCGCUAGCGUGUGCGCGCACGACAUCCCUGCUAUGCUCCCUCCCACCACCACUGCCUUUCCCUGCUUCAUCUCUCUCUCUCUCUCUCUCUCUCUCUCUCUCUCUCUCUCUCUCUCUCUCUCUCUCUCUCUCUCUCUCUCUCUUGUGUGUGUGUGUGUGUUUUUGAAGUGUAAAGGCUCCAAACUAUAUAAUGUUUCCAAUGAUUAGUUUUUUUAAUUAGAAGUAUUUUUAAUAAUACCACGUGAAUCAGUAAUUGGGAUCGUUUGACUAUUCAUAUAUACAUUAUGAUCCUGUGAUUUCAUUGCUCUCAUCAACGUGCAUUAUUUUAUUAAUUUAUAAUAAUUUAUAAUUUUAUUCCGUAUCAAUUAGAUCAAAUGUCAUUUUUUUCAAAUCUUUUUACAGAAAACUUGAGAUUUAAGAAGCCUCUAGUCUAACUAUCAUUAUUGUUUGUGUGUGUGUGCGCGCGUGCAUUAAUUUUCAUGUUACUUACUCCUCGAUUCCUGCAGAAGCUGAUAUUUAAUUGUGAUUUUUCUAAUGGUAGUAUUAUUUUUUAUUGCUCUGAUUUCUAAACAUUUCAGAACAAUAGCAUGUGAGCCUUAAUUGUGGGUUGGUGUGGCAAAUUGUUGGACCAGAUCUAAUUUUGACAGGACCCAUAAUCGAUCCAAAGUAGACCAGACAAUGAUCCAACACGAAAAAUCAAUCAAAUUAAGGAUAAAUCGGUUACAAAGAAAAUACGAAACGUUUUAUUGACGGUAGUGUCGAAUCGAGCAUCUUAUUAUAUAUAUAGUCCAUAAUUUAAAUGAACAACGUACCAUCGUCGAAAUAAGGUAUACACUGUCACAUCACAUCAAUAUGGAUGGCAUACCAUUGUGAUAAGGUAUGUUUUUCAGCUGCAGCACUUUGCAUUCUUCUUCACUCGCUGUCGUAGGAUCGAAUAUCUCAUGACCAGAAACGGGCAAACGCUGCUUUAUACGGCCCAAUCUUCGCGAGAAGAGAACUUGCUCUUUAGCCACUGGCAGCCUAAUAGACUGAUAUUCUUCGAGGGCCGGGCCCAGAUUCUGUGGGCCCCACUUCUCGAGGCAUUUGCCCAGCACUGCAGAAUCGAGUAUCGACAUGUUUGUGCUUCUUGCACCGUGAGGAGUUAUCGGAUGAGCUGCAUCUCCUAUCAGAACCACAUUGUUGUUCCAGUACAACUGCCCUAACGACUCACUAUCGUAUAUCGCGUUCAGAAAGGGCUCUUUCGUUUCUCGCAUUACUUUCACCAGUUCAGGUAUCCACACUUUCUCUGCUAGUUCAUACAUAUUCUCGAUCAUUUCGUGGCUAACUUUUGUGGUGAGCGAAUUCCUCUGAAUCAAUAUAUAAGAUGAGAAGAAGAUUAAAUGGUAGUUGAUUUUGAUUUUCGAACGAAGAAUGAAAGUUUUUUAUUUUAAAUACCUCAAAAGUGGGCUCUUGUUGAUUAAGAUACCAAACCCAAUUGAUCCUUCGGUUGAUUAGCUCGUGAAGGACAACAUGCCCUUCCGAACCCAAGUCGAAAUAACAAGAUUUGCCGAGAUCAAGGUAUGCCUUCUUGAUUGCCUUUAGUGUUUCCGAGUUUUCAUUGUCUGAAUAAUCGAUUACCCCUCUCCAUGCACAGUAACCCGAAUAUCUAUUAUAAUGAAAAGGAAGGUGGUUUAUUACAUAGAAACAGCUAUAUAAUAUAUACAUACAUAUAUAAGUCGGUACAACACAAUUAAAUAUAAUACCUGAGUUUGUGAUCGGGAAGAAAAUGUUUUCGUACAGAAGAAAGGCUGCCAUCAGCUCCAACAAGAAGAUCGCAAACUAUCUCGACAGUUUCAUUGGUUUGGAGUAAUUUAGCGACCACUUUGACAGAACUUUUAUCUUCAGACAUGGACAAGGACAAGAACAAGUGCCCCCAUAGAACAACCUCGGAUGGUAAGGAUUCGUACAGAAGCCUAUGUAGAUCAGACCAGUGCACUACUUUGAAAUUGAAAUUCGGGUCUUUUGCAAGCGUUCGAGUACUAUUCUUGCUCCCAUCUGUUGCUUGUUCCUAAUAAUAAUCAACACGUACUCAAUUGUAUUAUGAAGGAGAAAAUUGUGAUCUGUUUAUUUGAAUUUAUAAUACUUACAUACUCAACAGUCAACGGCAAUGUCAUACGAUCGAGUACUUCGGGUUGUUUAAUCCAUGGCUGAAUGAGUUUGAAAGACACUGUAUCGAGUCCAAGUCCAGCACCGGUGGCACAGCCAGUUGGGGCGGCGGUAGUCUUCUCCAGCACCACCACCUCCCAACCGGCGGCAAUCAGUGCGUGUGCACAGGAAAUCCCCGCUAUGCUCCCGCCCACAAUCACCGCCUUUCCCUUCAUCUGUGUGUGUGUGUGUGUGCGCGUGCGCGCGUGUGUGUGUGGUUUCUCCUUGACUCCAGCAGCUAAUUCAAAGCUUAAAUUGGGAUUCCUUGAUAGUGUGUUUUGCAUUACUCAUAUAUGCAUUACGAUCGUUUGCAUUAUACACAUAUGCAUUAUGAUCGUUUACUAUCAGGAACGAGUAUUAUCUCAUCAUUUAUUCCAUAUCAGUUAGAUCAAAUAGCAUAGCCUAACUAUCAUUAUUGCUGUGUGUGUGUGUGUUUGUGUUGACUUUUGACAGAUUAAUUAAGCAUGGAAGCUAGAAACUAUACCUUGUUACUUUCUCGACGAUUCCUUCAGAAGCUGAUAAUUUAAUUGUGAAAUUGCUCUGAUUUCAGAACCUUUCAGAAUAACACAAUGCGGAGCUUUAAUAGUCACACGACAAAUUCCAUCGUUCCAUUUCAUAAUUUCGUAUCAAUUUGGGAUCACUAUUUCAAAUCCCAACUUUUGCUUACUUCAAUACCAAAAAAAUAAAAAAUAAAUAAUUAAUUGUAAAUUACUUUAAUGCCCUUAAUGAAAAUUAAAACCAAAACAAUAUUAUAAAUACUAUUUUUCUUUCUUAAAUACCAAAUAAUCAAAAACCCUAAAAAAAACAUUUCCCUCCUCACUCACAAACCCCUCACCUCCUCCACCUCCUUCUUCUCCCUCCCCAAAAACCCUCCUAAAAAACCUCAAAACAAAAGAAAUCAAAACCUUACACAACUUGCAAAAUGGCAUCAAAUGACAAUAGAACGGUAGUUUAAGAGCAAGGAGAACCCAUUAAGGUAUGUAUUCAUGUAUUUUUUGAGCUAAAACAUCGAUUUUGAUUUUUUUUUUUAAAUUCGCCAUCAAUUUUCGACACAUACAGGUCGAAAAUAUGCUUAGUUUUCGACAUGUAUGUGUCGAAAAACAUAACAAUUGAUAUUUUAUUCAGUUUCGACACCUAAGUGUCGAAUUUUGCUACAAUUUUCGACACCUAAGUGUCGAAAAUGACCCAUAUUUUCGACACUUAAGUGUUGAAACUGACCUCUAUUUUCGUCACUUAAGUGUCAAAAAGUUGGGUCAUUUUCGACACUUAGGUGUCGAUUUUUUUCCUGUUGCAAAUGUACUUGUCUUAUAUUUUCGACACUUUUGUGUAGAUCGAUUGCACAAUUCAUUUACCACGUCAGAAAAAUUCCCAACAAAAGAAGUUUUAUUGACAUGGGUUCGUGAAGUAUGUAAAAGAAUUGGAAUGGUGUUAAUGAUUGCGGGUUCGAGUGACGGGGAUAGAGGAUGUAGGACACCGUAUGUGAUUGUUCGUUGUGAGCGUGGGGGCCAUUAUGUUGGCAAGAAGGUACCAGGUGAAGAUGAUCAAAGACCGGGAAAAAAGAGCAUCGGUUCAAAGAAAUGCAAUUGUCCAUUUAAAUUGAAGGGGACAAAAGAACACAAGGAUGAUGAAAAGGCUGAGUGGAAAUUGGAUGUUUAUAGUGGUAUUCACAACCACAACUUGUUUGAAAAUUUGCAGGGACACUCUUAUGCUGGAAGAUUAUCAAAGGAGCAGACUUCCUUUGUUCUCACUAUGAAGAAAACAAUGGUGAAACCAAGGGCAAUUCUAAGAUUAUUGAAGGAAAAGGACCCGUCUAAUGUAACUGGUAUGAAGGUAAUUUACAAUACUAUCUCUAAGUUAAAUUUCAGUGAAUUGUCUGGGAGAUCUCAAUUGCAAUCAUUGUUCGUCAAGUUGAAAGAAGAUGAAUACCUCUCGUACCAUAGAUCGAACGAGUUGAAUGCGAUUACUGACUUGUUGUGGAUCCACCCCAAAUGCAUUAAGUUGGCACAGUCGUAUCCGUACGUAUUCGUCAUCGAUUGCACGUACAAGACCAAUCGUUACGGACUCCCAUUUCUUGAGAUUGUAGGUUUUACUUGUACCAACAAGACGUUCUCCAUUGCCUUUGCAUACUUGGAUCACGAAAAAACGGUAAAUUUCGAAUGGGCGUUGCGUUAUUUGAAGGACGCCAUGACCAGUUGUCAUCGGCCUAAUUGCAUUGUAACAGAUCGAGAUUUGGGUUUAAUGAAAGCAGUGACCAAUGUGUAUCCAUCGAGUCAUCACUUGCUGUGUCGGUGGCAUGUCAACAAGAAUAUAUUGGCCAAUUGUAAGAAAUUGUUCAUAAAUGACAUCACCAAAUGGAAGCAAUUUCAGUCGGUUUUUUCGGCUCUUAUUGAAAGAAAUACCAUAGAGGAGUUCAAUGAGGAUUGGGAGUCAAUGAAAAGAACAUUUAUCGGUUAUCCCCCGGCUAUAGCAUAUGUAGCUAAUUCAUGGUUGGAUCCGUACAAGGAGAGACUUGUAUCGGUGUGGACAAAUAAGUGUACUCAUUUUGGAACGUACACUUCUAAUAGGGUGGAGGGGGCACACGGACGAAUGAAAAGGGAUGUGCAUAAUUCAACUGGCACCUUUGUGGACUUUCUUUUUGCGGUUUGAAAAUUGCUAUUUGCGAUUUCUAACAAAACUCCCCAAAAAAACACUUUAUUUCACUAAAAUCCAAAAACUUUCCAAAAAAAUCCAAAAACACCCCCCAAAACGCGUAAACGCCCAACUUGGGCGCCCAUUCAUGCAGUGCACGCCCAAGUUGGGCGUGCAAGCUGCAUUUGGGCGCCCGAGUUGGGCGUGCAGUGCAAAAUUUUUUUUUUUUUUUUUUAAAUGUUCGAACGCCCAAGAUGGGCGCCCAAGGCGUGUACGAACCGCCCGGAACGGGCGUUCAAACAUUUUUUUGCGAAAAAAAAGCCCUAUAAAUUGAUUUGUAGGGCUUUUUAACAUGAAAUUGGUUCCGUAAUCGACCUACCCAAUGCAUGUUACACAUAAAAGAGUCGAAAUUACAUCAAAAAAUCGAAGCCCAACCCUUCUUCAAGCUUGAUUUUGAAUUUUCAAUUUUUUUUUUUUUUUGUUUUUUUGCUAUUUGCAGUUUUGGGGAGUUUUUUUGAUAUUUUUAAAAGUUUUGAGGGGUUUUGUUAUAAACCGCGAAUAUCAAUUUUGUGACCGCAAAUAGCAUUUUCGUUUUGAAUUUAUCUGUAUGAUAUUAAAAGGCCAACUGGAGAAUAUAUUUAAAAUAUAACCCUCUCUCACAUGGUAAGCACUACUGUACUUGGUUUUUUUUUUUUUUAAAUUAUUAUUUUAUAUAUAUAUAUAUAUAUAUAUAUAUAUAUAUAUAUAUAUAUAUAUAUAUAUAUAUAUAUAACUGUAGUAAAAUCCCAUUGAAAAUUAUAUGCGCGAUUUAAGGGUGAAAUUUGCCAAUUUGAAAAUUGAAGUGUGCAAAACGCCAAUUCAUGAUAUUUUCAGGGUCAAAAUGCAACCCAAAUUUGCAUAUCUAAAGGAAACCGGAAAGAAUUGUGUGACCCUAGAGAAACAUAAAUCACUUAUCAUGAUAUUAAUUUAGAGUUACUUUAAAUUAUUAUUUUUUAAUUUAAAUACUUAUACUGUUAAAAGAUAAAGGUGACGAAGAUGUCAAGAAGCUAAGACCACUAAUUUAAAAUAAACUUACUAAUAUAUAUAUAUAUAUAUAUAUAUAUAUAUAUAUAUAUAUAUAUAUAUAUAUAUAUAUAUAUAUAUAUAUAUAUAUAUAUAUAUAUAUAUAUAUAUAUAUAUAUAUAUAUAUAUAUAUAUAUAUAUCUGAAAUAAUAUACUUGAAUGUAAUUGGUAUGAAGUUUUGUGAUUGACCAUUGCUUACAUUUCUGCACUUUAUUUAUUUGAAUUUUCUAGGCGGCUUCUUGAAUUAUUAUGAUUUAUUGGAAAAAAAAUAAAAAAAAAAUGUCAAGUGUUUGAUCAUAGAAUGAUGUAAGUACAUAGGUCACAAAUUACCAAAUCGGAAAAAAAAAAAAAAAUUAAUCAUGUUAUCGACUAUUUGACCGUUGAUCUACACCAAUAUUAGAUGUCCCACGUCCGUUUAAUUAUAUUUGUGUGUUUAUGGAUGGUAAAAAUCUAUCCGAUCAAUGCCAAACUUAUUAAUGUUCUGUUAAAUUAAAAUUGCAAAAUCAUGCAUGCAGAGAGUUGGACAACUUAUGUGUUGGGUUAAUUAUUAUUGCAAUAUUGAUUUGGAAUAACCAUAUUAAUGAUCUGAACCUUAAUUAAUUACAUUUAAUUAAUUUGUUAAUCAACGAUCAUCAAGGUUUUAUCUAUCCUACACCCGGUGAAGGUUACACCGGGUGAUGUUUUACCAUUGAUCUACACAUACCAAUGUGGGUGUGUGUGUGUUUGUGUGUAUAUGAAUGGUAAAGAUCUACCCGGUGUAUUUCACCCGGUGUAGGAUCUCAAAAGCCCGAUCAUCAAUUAAUCACAUCAAACUGCAGUAAAAUGCCAUUGAAUCAUAAUUCCUAAGUAGAUUUCAUCUUCAUCAUUAAAAUCGAAGAACGUUUCGAAAAAUCGGGUAAGGUGUAAAGAUAUUUUUGCUUCUGCUCCGCUCCAAAUAUUACCUAUAGAAGAUAAUGGUUAGAAAAACAUAAAAUAAAUAAAUAAUAAUAAUAAUAAUAAUAAUAAUAAUAAUAAUAAUAAUAAUAAUAAUAAUAAUAAUAAUAAUAAUAAUAAUAAUAAUAAUAAUAAUAAUAAUAAUAAUAAUAAUAAUAAUAAUAAUAAUAAUAAUAAUAAUAAUAAUAAUAAUAAUAAUAAUAAUAAUAAUAAGGGUAAAUUACAAACACCCCCCUGAGGUAUGGUCAAAUUACAGAAAACCCCCUCUUGUUUGGAUAAUUACAUCUACCCCUCAAUUAAUCACAUCAAACUGUAGUAAAAUGCCAUUGAAUCAUAAUUCCUAAGUAGAUUUGUCGGUCCAAAUUAAAGUGAACGUGACUAACAUAAAUAAAUGAAAUUGAUUAUCUUGAUUUAGUGGUACACACGUCUACUAAUAGUCUAAUAUAUUGUGUCCAUGUGCAGAGUUACACACAGCUGGUUCCUAAAUUUCAAACUUCAUUUUCAUUAUUAAAUAUUUUAAUUUAUAUCAACUUUUGAAUUAGUAACGGGGCUCCCCAGAACUUUUCCAUAAUUACAAUUUGCAUCCUUAACUUGUGACCAUAUAUUUAUAUUGUCUGGUAUAAAAAAAGUCUAGCUGACAACUGAGAAUCUUUUAAUGUUUGUUUAAUUAAUUAUACAGACAAACUCUAUAAUUGUUCAAGUAGCGCGCUGUACAAAACAUGAUAAUGGUAAUUAAAUGUUCUUGAUAUUACAUCCAAGUCCUAGCUUAGCAAAACAAUUAAUUUGCAUGCAUGGCCUCAUGUAUUUACUAUUUGUCGCAAUGAAAAAGGAAAUCGUUAUAAUUAAUCAGUUAACCCUGUAAUUAACUGAAAAUAUGAAAAAGUAAUAAUAAUGUUGAGAAAAUAGUUAUAAUAUUUAAUCGUUAUAAACGUUCAGCAAAGCGUUUGUAGUCCAACGGUUAGGAUAAUUGCCUUCCAAGCAAUAGACCCGGGUUCGUCUCCCGGCAGACGCAUUUAUAAAUAUCAUUCAUUUAAUCAAAAACAAUUUCUCUAAUUAUUUUGAUUUAACAAAUUUUAUUUUACUAAUCUGAAGUUCUCCCUCUCUCUCUCUCUUGUCACGGUCUUAAUUAAUCUGGUUUAACAUCUCUUUGGUACUAAAUAAGUUCAUUCAAUUGCAGCAAAAUGAUUUACCACAAAAUAAAUAAUAAUAAAUUGAAAUUGAUAAAUGAAAGCUAAUGAUAACAUAUAAUCUUGUGCAGAUAAAAUUAAUUGAUUAAUUAGGGUUUUUGUUCAACCCCAUCAAAGUAAUCGGACCAAGUUGCCGGAUCAAAGAAUCUUCGAGAACCUUCUCGGCUUCAUCUUCCGGAAGUGUCACCGCCACCACCCGACUCUCUGGCCCAUCACCGCCACCUGGCGCCGGCAUGACAAGUAUCUGCCCGGCCCCCACACCCGGGCCGUCCAUGUAGUACGAAACACGAAUCGGCACCACAUUUUCCUCAAAAACCGCAGAAUAACAAUCCACAUUCUCUAAAUCAACACAAAUCAAAUGAUCAUCAUCGCAUCCACUAAUCACCAACGAAUUACGAUUAAUCUAUUCGCUUUCCAACCACUCGAUCAACUCCAUCACAUGAUCUCCACCGUCCAUUCCCGAUACCGCCUCUUUGAUCGAAACAACCGCAUCGGACAACACUUCACAAUUACCAUGAUAAUGAUAAUCAUCCCCAUGCAGUAGUACUACUACCUUAUUGUACACCAUGGAGUUUCCGAAAAAGCCCUUGUCCAAUCCCAACGCUUGGAGUUUCCGAAAAAGCCCUUGUCCAAUCCCAACGCUUUUCGCAUGUCCAAACACACCGACAUGUCAACCAAACCUCGUUUCAUUCCCUUCGCUCUGCUGAUGCAUGUCCAGAAAAGCCCGGCCAAGGCCUGGAACGGCGUGGGGCCCGGCCCGCGACCGUUCACAUCGUUCACCAUGGCGAUGCAUAAUUUUUUAACCGUUUCUUGAUUGAACUGAAGAGUGAUGGUUGUGAUUUGUUUUGUGUUGCUGUCUGAUUUUGGAACUGGAGAUGAGGUUAAGUAUGAUUUGUGGCGGUCGAUUAAAGAAGAAGAGUGGUGGUUGGUGUUUCGGUUUGGUACCGGCAACAGACGGAAUAGGGGCGGGGAUGUAAUUUCGCCGAUUAGGGUUGUAUCUGCCCAUGCUUUGAUCAUCAUUGUUGCACAGAUGGGAUCACUGAGUAGACGAGUGCAGCUCAAACCAAUCGCUAGCCCACCGCCUUCGAAUUCGGUUAUCUGCCAAUCGAAAAUUCAGACACGAGAAAACGAGUCUAUACAAUUGAUUGUAUAUAAUAACAAAUAAAUACGUAAAGCAGAACCUCGAUAAAUUAAUAACCUCGCCUAAAUAAUAAUUUCUCCCGGUUCCGAUCGAUUAGGUGAAAACAUAUUAAAUCAGUAGUUCGAUAAUUUGAUAUUUAGCUAAAUUAAUAGAAUUUCGCAAACCCGACUGUAUUAAUUUAAAGAGGUUUAACUGUAUAUACCUGAACGUAAAAAGUAGACCAGAAAUAGGGUUUGUAAAACAUUUCCUCCCAAUGAACAAGCUUCAGUUCCUUUUUUCUAUCAACAUUUCGCAGCCAUUUUUCGACACUUCCCUUCAUUACUUUCGCUUCCACCAUUCUUAAGCCAGCGUCGUUGCAUUUGACAGUCCAGUCUCCGUCGGAAGUCCUCAGCAGCCGCCCUGUGACCAUCGGAAAAUACGACAGCAUAUCGGAGAUCGACUCCCGGAGCUUAUCUGUCAGUUCUCCGGCCGUUUUUCUGGCCGGAAAACUGUAGUAGAACACUAGCCGGAUAUUACUGUUUUCGUUAUUUAAUCGGUCAAGAACCGAUAGAGGGCUGAACUGACCUGGCGGCACGGGUUUAGUAAUGGAUCGGAAUUAAAACUUUGUACCGGUUUUUCUUCGGGUGUGAUUCGUAGGCUUAUUUUGUGACGAAUAUAAGCGGUGUUUUUAUCGGUUAGCAUGAGAGAAACCACCUCCAUAAUUACUGGGAAAUGAAUUUCUCAUGACCUGUUUGUUAAACUCAAAUAUAAUUAUAUUAUAUGAAUGAUCAUAUUAAGAUUAGAUUUAAUAUGCAAUAAUAAUAUAUUAGAUUGUUUGUUAAAUGAUCAUUAGGGUUUAUGCUGUGAUAUAAAAUGAACCAGCCGGAAUUUAGUUAUCGAGUAAAUAUAUGAAGGAUCGCAUAUUUAGUCGAAACGAAACCUGAAUCAUGUCUAGCUACAUUUAUAUAUGGAAACAAAAAUCGAUCAAUUAAUUAACAUAACGAGCACGCAUGCACGAACAAGUUUUAGGAUAAUUGAUCGAUUUGUGUCACAACGGUCACUAAUUAAUUAAAAAAAUGUCGAUUUUUAGCUCUCUACUUCUGAUGUUCUAUUAGGAAAAUGUUUAUGAAUUUAUAAGAAUAAAAGAAUAAUACAAGAUAUAUACGGGUUUUCCGGCCCGGCCCGACGAGUAGAUGAAAAUCAUGAGAAUAAAACCUGGUGAUAGAUUAUAUUAUUGAACAAAACAAAGUUGUGCUGUGUGGAGAAAGAAGAGUGAAGCCCUGAUCAACACUGAUAAUUAUGCAUGUAACAGAAAUACUUAAGCUAAUAACUAAGAACAAAAAACUAAGAACUUGACAAAAGGAACCGGAGGCAAAUGCCGCCCUAAUUUAGAGUUAAUGAUCUCGAUAAUUGCAAUUAGGGGAUGCAGUCUUCUUCUCCGACGAAACACGGAGAACCAGAGAGAACCUUUACCUGCUGAAUCCGGUCCACGUCGACCCGGACUCCUCCGAUCCCCACUCCUCUCGAUUCAGCUCUGUAGCCAAGGCUUUUUGCGUGAAUCCAAUUAUUUUAAUCAAAUGAUUUUGUUGAGUUUGAAUAUAAAAUAUAAAUCCACGCGAAAAAUCUUUGACUAUCAGAGAAUGGAGGAAUGGAGAUAAGAGGUGCUUCCAGGUAUGAUUUGAAUCGCUUUCAACUGUUUCAUGUUCUCUCUCGCUCUUGAAUAAUUUCCCACUCGAUUUUCAAUCCGAGUUUCAAUUAUGAGUGCGCAAUUAGUUUGGUAAUCGUUCGAAAUCAAAAUCUUAGGGUUAGUGUAAUUUCCGAUUUUUAAUUUUUUUUUUUGUUUACAUUCUCCAAAAAUAAGAGUUUUUUGCUUUUUUCCCGUUAUAUGAAACAGAGAUAAAAUUUUUGAAUUUUACUGAGAACUGAUCUAAUUUGUUCAUAGAACUUGCAAUUUUACUCCAUGAAGAUCAAAGUUUGUUCUCAUGUGUUAUUUGGUACACAUUUAUUGAAUAUUUCAUACUGUAGAAAACACCAUCACAUCAGUAUGGAUGGAAUAUCAUUGAAAUAAGGCAUACCCCCAAGCUGCAGAUCUUUGCUUUCUUCCGAACUCGCCGCCAUUGGAUCGAAGAACUCCCGAUCAGAAAUGGGCAGACGCUGCUUUAUCUGCCCCAAUCUCCUCGAGAAAAGAACUUGCUCUCUAGCCACCGGUAACCUAAUCGACUGAUACUCUUCGAGAGCCGAGCCAAGAUUCUCCGGACCCCACUUCUCGAGGCACUUGCCCAGCACUGCAGCAUCAAGCACCGACAUGUUUGUUGCUCUUGCACCGUGAGGAGUUAUCGGGUGAGCCGCAUCUCCCACAAGAACCACAUUGUCCCAAUACAGCCGCUCUAACGGCUCGCUGUCAUAUAUCGCAUUCAAAAAGGGCUCUUUUGUGUCUCGCAUCAGCUUCACCAGUUCAGGUAUCCAUACUUUCUCCGCUGCUUCGUACAUAUUCUCGAUCAUGUCGCGGCCUACUUUUGUUGUGAGCGAGUUUCCCUGUGGUGUUUUUGAUGUUGAUCAUCAAAGUAUGUGAUUUAUUAAUACCGUAAGUAAUUGAACAUGUUAUUUACCUUCAAAUCUGGCUCUUGUUGAUUGAGAUACCAAAUCCAGUUGAUCCUUUUGUUGAUUAAUUCAUAAAGAAUGGCAUGCCCUUCCGAACCCAAAUCGAAAUAAUCGCAGUUUCCCAGAUCAGGGUAUGCCUUCUUGAUUUGCUUUACUGUUUCCGAGUUCUGAUUUUUCGAAUAAUCGAGGACCCCUCUCCACGCACAGUAGCCGGAAUAUCUAUAAUGACAAAUAUGGUUUAUUUCAUCAUCUAUAUGCAUAUAUGUAUAUAAGUUGGUAGAUUGAUAGUACCUGAGUUUGUGGUGAGGAAGAAAACAUUUACGAACUGAAGAAUGGCAACCGUCAGCACCGACAAGAAGAUCACCGACAAUAUCGACAGUUUCAUCAGUUUUGAGGACUUUUGCCGCCACUUUGACUGAGCUUUUGUCUUCAGAUAUGGAGAAGGAGAGGAAAGAGUGUCCCCACAGAACAACAACUUCCGGUGGUAAAGAUUUGUGGAGAAGGGUAUGGAGAUCAGCCCAGUGUGCUGCUGUGUAGUUAUAAUCUUCGUCUCUUGUCAGUGUUCGAGUAAUCUUGGUUUCUGCAUCUGUUGCUUGUUCCUGUAAUGAAAGAACUCAUUUCUUAUUACAUCCAUUUUUGUGGAGGAGAAAUUAGUCGGUAAUAGAUAAGACUUACGUGGUCAAUGGUCAUGGGCAUGGUGAUAUGCUGAAGGAGAUGUGGUGGUUUAAUCCAUUUGGGAAUGAGUUUGAGAGACACUGUAUCGAGUCCAAUUCCGGCACCUGUGGAGCAGCCAGUUAGGGCGGAGGUGGUCUUCUCCACCACCACCACUUCCCAUCCGGCGGCAAUCAGUGCGUGCGCACAGCAAAUCCCCGCUAUGCUGCCGCCCACAAUCACCGCCUUCCCCUUUUUCUGCUUCUCAAUCAUCUCUCGGUGUGUGUGUGUGUGUGUGUUUCUUUGCCUUUUUCGGAGGCAAUUACUUUAUAAUCACAAUUAGUUAGACGAGAGAAGAUGCUGGAAUAAUUGUGUUUCUUUGCCUUUUUCGGAGGCAAUUACUUUAUAAUCACAAUUAGUUAGACGAGAGAAGAUGUUUGGUGAAUAUCAAUCACGUGGGAACAAUUAGGCCUGCAAAAUGUGGUCCGACAUUGGAAUAGCGACACCGGUAAUAGAUCUUUUGUUUUUUUCCUCUGAAUUAGCCAGUGUCGAAUUUGAUUUUCACUUACUCUCAAAUUCUGAGGACUCAAUUAUUUGACUAUUGCAUCAGGUUAAAAUUCUCGUAAUGAAGACAACAUUACUCGGACACAUGUUUAUUGAUAAUUGAAACACACAGAUAAGAAAACUCCUGCUGGGAAUACACAUCCAGAGGGUGGUCCGCACUUAUUACAUCAAAAUGGAUGGCAUAACAUUGAAAUAAGGUGUAUUCCUUAUCUGCAGCACUUUGCUUUCUUCUUCACUUGCUGUCAUAGGAUCAAAUAUCUCCCGACCAGAGACAGGUAAACGUUGUUUUAUACGGCCCGAUCGUCGUGAGUAA
rnacentral:lncRNA from 1 species